rnacentral:tRNA from 1 species
AUAUAUAGCUUAAUGGAUAGAGCGCACGGCUACGAACCGUGUAAUAUAGGUUCGAGUCCUAUUAUAUC